rnacentral:tRNA from 2 species
UGGGCUAUCGUUCAAUUGGCAGGACACCGGAUUCUGGCUCCGAUAAUCAAGGUUCGAGUCCUUGUAGCCCAGCCA